AUGUACACGCCUACAACAUAGAGUUAAUGCAUCAGAUCCCAUUAUAACUCCGCAGUUAAGCGCGCUCAGGAUAGAGUAGCACUGGGAUGGGUGAUUGCCCAGGAAGUCCUAGUAUUUUACAUG
rfam:Picea glauca, whole genome shotgun sequence.